rnacentral:rRNA from 1 species
GAUGAACGCUGGCGGCAUGCUUUACACAUGCAAGUCGAACGGUAACAGGUUAAGCUGACGAGUGGCGAACGGGUGAGUAAUGCAUCGGAACGUGCCCGAUCGUGGGGGAUAACGCAGCGAAAGCUGCGCUAAUACCGCAUACGAUCUGAGGAUGAAAGCGGGGGACCGUAAGGCCUCGCGCGAUCGGAGCGGCCGAUGUCAGAUUAGGUAGUUGGUGGGGUAAAGGCUCACCAAGCCGACGAUCUGUAGCUGGUCUGAGAGGACGACCAGCCACACUGGGACUGAGACACGGCCCAGACUCCUACGGGAGGCAGCAGUGGGGAAUUUUGGACAAUGGGCGAAAGCCUGAUCCAGCAAUGCCGCGUGCAGGAAGAAGGCCUUCGGGUUGUAAACUGCUUUUGUACGGAGCGAAAAGGCUCUCUCUAAUACAGGGGGCUCAUGACGGUACCGUAAGAAUAAGCACCGGCUAACUACGUGCCAGCCGCCGCAGUAACAC